CAAUAACAUGUAUUGUAGAAGAAAGAGUGUCUUCUCUACAACCACACUUAAAGUUCCUGCAGAAUGGUGACCAUGGAGUGGACAAAAAGUGUGCUGCACUCUGCAUGCAAAAAUGUUGUCUCCCACUCUACUAUCUGGUGCCUCCUGACUUUCCUGAAAAGCAGGUCUCCAUCUUACCUGUGGAGAAACUGUUCCCAGUGUUCCAUCAAUUCAAAGAGGACAUGUCCUACUCCUUGUCUGUAUGAACCAGGAUCACAGCUAUUAAGAAGGUGUCUUGCAUACCAGAAUCGACUGCCCUAGGUAUGGAAACACAGCCCUAUCAUUUGCCAUGGGUUGAUCCACGACUGCACUGGAACAGAAGAGAACUCCUGAACACCUGCAGUACUAUGAUUACUUCAUCAUAUAGGGUAACAUAGAAGAGGGAGUUUUUGAGAAAGGGAAGAAAAUAGUUGAAACCUUUUUGAAUGUCAGCUUUGCAAUAAGAUAAAGUAAGGCCCAGGACCAAAAUAGCUGUUCCAAAGUGAUCAAAGGGAUAUUCCAUACUGUAUAAUGAAGAAUACAACCGG
ensembl:lncRNA